GGAGUAGGCUAGAUGAUCGCUGGCCGUCCGUUCAGGGCGGCGAGAGGAAAGUCCGAGCUCCACAGGGCAGGGUGCUGGGUAACGCCCAGUGGGGGUGACCCUAAGGAAAGUGCCACAGAGAAUAGACCGCCAGGGCGGCAAGCGUCGCCCCGGUAAGGGUGAAACGGUGAGGUAAGAGCUCACCAGUUCCGAUGGUGACAUCGGAAGCUAGGUAAACCCCACCCGGAGCAAGACCAAAUAGGAGAGCGUUAGAGGGUGGCCCGUCUGAAGCUCUCGGGUAGGUCGCUAGAGGCCACAGGCAACUGUGGUUGUAGAGGAAUGAUCAUCACCGGAGCUAUCCGGGACAGAACUCGGCUUAUGGCCUGCUCCGAUA
rnacentral:RNase_P_RNA from 3 species